GGUAGUAGCAAAUAUUCAAGUUCGAUCCUUGAAGACUGAAGUGGAGAAGGGUUUCACGUGAACAGUAGUUGGAUGUGGGUCAGUCGAUCCUAAGGUACUGGCGAACGCCUUGUAUCAUCGGUGGCGAAAAGCUUGCUUUUUGGAGUAUAAGCGCGGUAACGCGUUCGAACUUGGUUAGACGCUCAGAGACCGAGCUAGAGUUUUCUUCUCUAGUUAAGGAACGGACUCCCUGGAAUUGGUUCAGCCAGAGACGGAGACGUUGUUUCCGAAAAGCACCGCGGUUUCUGUGGUCUGUCGUGCUCUCUGAACGGCUCUUUAAACACCAAGGGAGGUUUGCUAUUAAUUUGCACUCAGUCGUACCGAUAUCCGCAUUAGGUCUCCAAUGUGAACAGCCUCUAGUC
rnacentral:ncRNA from 1 species